GUCUUCUGAAGUCCAUAAAACUCCAGAUUCAACCAGACUCACAGACUCCUGGACUGCUAGCUGCAUGAAGGAGCUACCCGCUGUGGGUCUCCUCUUUGCUGACAGCUGGACGCUUGACAGAAUGACCUGCCUGAACUCGGGACCUGCUGAAUGAUGGGACUGGAGAAGCUGUAACACAAACAGGGCUAAAACACGCACUCUCCUCCCUCUGCUCCCCACCGCCCCACCCACUUGCCACAUUGGAGGUGAUGAGAAGGAGAGAAGAGCUGUGGCCUUUCAGGGAGCAUAGUCGCAGGGGCUCCCUGAGCCAGGGCUGUGAAACCCUCUUCCGGGCACUGCAGUUCCUGGCAUCUCCAAGCUUCUGAGUGCCACCGCAUUCCCCGCGUCCGGAUGCAGGUCAAUACACGGAAAGAAAUCUCUCUCCUGACUUUAGUACAAUGGCAUGAUUGGUGGCCACAGUCCAAGGAUGGUUGCUGGGUCACCAAGAGAUUUCUGACAAAGGGCAUUAAAACUGAGAAAGUUUGGGAACCUCUGAAUGCUGUAGGACUUGCAUCUACGUUCUAACUGAGCUUGUUGGACACUGAAAUGGAGGAAGAAUCACAAGCCAUUUUCAAACCUUUUCUCUGGCAACUCCAAACUUUAUCUCUAAGUCUGAAAUCCAGGAAUGCUGUGAUUUUUCUGCUUGAGUUCAAGGCAUCCAGAACA